ensembl:lncRNA
AUGGGCUGGGGAUGGGGAGAGGGGCAAACCUUGGUCUCUGUCUCCAGGGAAGAGAAUGCAUUGGCAACCCAGCUAGGCUCUGCAGAAUGGGACCCUUGCUUGGAGCUGCUGCCCUGCUAUUGCAAGUGUUGGUGGUUGCCUGGCUCCCAGCUUCCUUCUGGCUCAUCCAUUCAUCCUCAAGCACGGACAGAUGAAGAGAGCGAAUACCAGGCUCCAGACAGGGCCGAUACUGGGGUAAGGCACUUCCUAGGCCACAAAAUUUAAGAGGAUGCCCCCAAACUCAACAAUCAAGAGAAAUAAGAUUAUAAUGCCAGGAGUUCACUGGUGGCUCAGCAGGUUAAGGAUCUGGUGUUGUCAGUACUGUGGCUCUGGUUACUGCUAUGGUAUAGGUUCAAUCCCUGGUCCAGGAACUUCCACAUAUCACAGCUGUGGCAAAAAAAAAAAAAAAAAAAGGCAGUGCAAUAUUUAAGAAACCCAAAAUUCAUGUAAAAAAUCCACAAUGAUCAAAAUAAUCAACUUUUCAAAUAAAGGCAGGAUCAAUAAGAGAGCCAUGUGGAGCCACCUUGAAACCUGAGGGGAAAGGGAAAGUCAGGAAAACUGAUGCUAUCUUUUUAUUGAAGAUUUGGACAUUUUGUUCAUCAUGAAUUUUGAGUUUUUUAAGUGUUGCAUUAAAAUAUGCUUUCUCUUCAGGGCUGGGCCUUACUCUGCUCCUGACUCUGGUUCCAGGCCCUGCUCUGGAACCUGAGGGUAUGACAGUGAAUAAGAGACACAAAGUCACUGUCCUCCUGGGGUUUACACUUUAUUGGGGAGGCUGAUGAUUCACUAGUAACAAGAAUCUCAGAGUGUCAUCCAUGUUGUGAAGAAAAAAACAAUGAGGAAUCAUGAGGUGGGAUGUGGGUGAGUAUGAUUUAGGCUAAGGUGGCUGGGAGGGGUGUGUGUGUGGGGGGGUACUUUUUCUUUGUUGUUGUAAUUUUCCCUUUGUCUGGAUGCACUUGUGGCAUAUGGAAGUUCCUGGCGCAAGGAUUGAAGCUGAGCCUCAUCUGUGACCCAUGCCAGAACACCUUUGUCAGACAGGGAUCAAACUGGCAACACCACAGAGACAAGCUGGACCAUUAUCCCACUGAGCCACAGCAGGAACUCCAUUUUUUUUUUCUUUUCCUUUUUUGUUUGUUCUUGUCUUUGUUUUUUUGUUUGUUUGUUUGUUUGUUUGUUUUGUGUGUGUGUGUGUGUAGACUUUUGAGCUGAGAUUUGAGAGCUGAAAGGAGUUCAUCAUGUGCUGUCUGGGGGAAGGGCAUUCCAAGAAGAGGAAAUAGUAAGUGCAAAGGUCCUGAGGUUGAAACAGACAGGACUAUUUGAAGAGCAAGAGGGCCAGCUCGGUGGGAUCACCAAACGCAGCCUGAGAAGCUAUGAGGAGGGUCUGAAUGAGAUUCUCAGUGACAGGAGGCGCUAGGGGAGUAGUAUGAGCAGGGGGAUGACAUAUUCUUAUUUGAAAGCUGAAUAGACCAUAGGGCCAGUUCCUCAAUAAAUACAAUAUAGAAUUACAAUAUGACCCAGUGUUUCCACUCUUAGAUAUGUACCUAAAAGAAUAUAAAACAGGCACUCAAAUACUUGUACACCAGUCUUCACAGAAGCACUAUUCAUAGAAGCUAGAAGAUGGAAACAACCCAAAUGUCCAUCAAUGAACAGAUAAUGCUCUAUAAUCAUACAAGGGAAUAUUAUUCAGCCAUAAAAAAGGAUGAAGUUCUGAUACAUACCACAAUGUGGAUUUUUCUUGAAAACAUUAUGCUGAAUGAAAAAAUCAGAGCUUGAAGGUCAAGUAUUAUAUGAUUCCUUUAUAUAAAAUAUCCAGAAGUGGCAAAUCCAUAGAAACAGAAAGCAGAUUCGACACUACCAGGGGCUGGGGAGGGGGAAGGGCGAGUGACUGCCACUGCAUAAAGAAUUGCCUUUUUGGGAUGAGGCACAUGUGUUGGAGUUAGACAGAGGUGGUGGUUGCACAAUGUUAUAACAUGGUGAAUAUACUCCAUGCCACAGAAUAGUUCACCUUGAAAUGACUAGUGGCUAAUUUUCUGUUAGGUGAAUUUUACCUCAAUUAAAACAAAAUGAUAGGGAGGAUUUGAGAGAAAGCCAGGACACUGGGGAGGUGGCCUCCACAGUCCAUCUAGGUGAGAGGCAAUGGGGGCCUGGAUCAGGAUGCUGGGUAGAAGUGGUCAGAUUUGAGGCAUAUCCUAGGGACAAAGCCUAGAGGACCCCCACCCCUCCAUUGGGACUACUCAAAUGUCACCUCUUGAUCACACUAUCGAAAACUCCAAACACUUCACCCUCCUCACUCCCGGAAGGCGAGUCUAGGAAGCUGCCUGGGUCCAGUCUGAGCAGUAGCCAGCAGGCAGGAAUGGUGGUCCAUUCCCAGUUAGGCACCACAACCGGGAGGGGAGCCCAAUUGGGCUGCGCUUCCCUCCCCGGCCGCCAGGGGCCGCUGCCCCGC